ACCGCACUUUAGUGUGUGUGGUGGAAAGUUUUUUCGGUACGAGAUGAGCCCGCGGCCUAUCAGCUUGUUGGUGGGGUAAUGGCCUACCAAGGCGUCGACGGGUAGCCGGCCUGAGAGGGUGGACGGCCACAUUGGGACUGAGAUACGGCCCAGACUCCUACGGGAGGCAGCAGUGGGGAAUAUUGCACAAUGGGCGCAAGCCUGAUGCAGCGACGCCGCGUGAGGGAUGACGGCCUUCGGGUUGUAAACCUCUUUCGACAGGGACGAAGCUUUUUGUGACGGUACCUGUAUAAGAAGCACCGGCUACUACGUGCCAGCAGCCGCGGUAAUACGUAGGGUGCGAGCGUGUCCGGAAUUACUGGGCGUAAAGAGCUCGUAGGUGGUUUGUCGCGUCGUCUGUGAAAUUCCGGGGCUUAACUCCGGGCGUGCAGGCGAUACGGGCAUAACUUGAGUGCUGUAGGGGAGACUGGAAUUCCUGGUGUAGCGGUGGAAUGCGCAGAUAUCAGGAGGAACACCGAUGGCGAAGGCAGGUCUCUGGGCAGUAACUGACGCUGAGGAGCGAAAGCAUGGGGAGCGAACAGGAUUAGAUACCCUGGUAGUCCAUGCCGUAAACGGUGGGCGCUAGGUGUGAGGGUCUUCCACGACUUUCGUGCCGUAGCUAACGCAUUAAGCGCCCCGCCUGGGGAGUACGGCCGCAAGGCUAAAACUCAAAGGAAUUGACGGGGGCCCGCACAAGCGGCGGAGCAUGUGGAUUAAUUCGAUGCAACGCGAAGAACCUUACCUGGGCUUGACAUAUACAAGAUCGGCGUAGAGA
rnacentral:rRNA from 1 species